AAUGGGGGAUAACGUAGCGAAAGUUACGCUAAUACCGCAUAUGCCCUGAGGGGGAAAGUGGGGGAUCGCAAGACCUCACGUUUUCGGAGCGGCCGAUAUCAGAUUAGCUAGUUGGUGGGGUAAAGGCCUACCAAGGCGACGAUCUGUAGCUGGUCUGAGAGGACGACCAGCCACACUGGGACUGAGACACGGCCCAGACUCCUACGGGAGGCAGCAGUGGGGAAUUUUGGACAAUGGGCGCAAGCCUGAUCCAGCCAUGCCGCGUGAGUGAAGAAGGCCUUCGGGUUGUAAAGCUCUUUCGGACAGAAAGAAAUCGCACAGGAUAAUACCUUGUGUGGAUGACGGUACUGUAAGAAGAAGCACCGGCUAACUACGUGCCAGCAGCCGCGGUAAUACGUAGGGUGCGAGCGUUAAUCGGAAUUACUGGGCGUAAAGCGUGCGCAGGCGGUUUCGUAAGACAGAUGUGAAAUCCCCGGGCUUAACCUGGGAACUGCAUUUGUGACUGCGAGACUAGAGUACGGCAGAGGGGGGUAGAAUUCCA
rnacentral:rRNA from 1 species